rnacentral:lncRNA from 1 species
UUUGGAGGUGUAAGUUGAGCUCAACUGAUAAAACUUUUAGAUGUGAUACCAGAGAUCUGAGAUUCGAAUUCCAUCAGCAUUACCAAUUAUACAGAUGAAGACCUCUUAACCUCCACUACCAUCCAUUACAGAGGUUCAACUUCAUAAGGUUAGCAAUUAUUUGAUGCAAAGAGGCAAAUCACAAAGAAGUACAUCUUCCCAAAUCCAUCUAAAUUAGAUAUUUAGAUUAUUACAUGAUCCAUGAAGCUAUUGAUGAUUGGCAACGCAAUGUUACCAUUGUCCAAGAGACUACAUUUCUUUAUUAUAUUACAAACAAACAACAAUUAAAACAAAGAAAAACUUGAAUCAACACAAGAUCAUAAACUUGUUAAUCACUCUAUUAAAACCCAUAAACCGAUUUCAGUAUGUCAUAAACUUUGUGUGAAUCAGGUAGUGUUUUAGAAACACUCUCCUUCUCCAAACAUCUUUUAACCCAUGCUAUUAACUUUGGGCAUUCUGCUUCAAUGCUGAACCUCCCACAUGUUUCAUAAGUGUAAAACCAACUGUAAAAAGGAAUGAAAGCUACAUCCACAUAUCCCAUCUUCUCACCUCCAAAGUAAGGUUUGUCUCCAAGCUCUCCUUCCAAUACUUUCAACACCUCUACAAAUUCUUUCUUUGCAGUCUCAUGUUCUUCUCCCUUUGUUGACCAUAUUUUCCUUCCACUAUCAUAAAUCUGCAUUUCACACAAAACCCAAAUCAGAAAACUAGUUAAUUAAAACACAUUUCAAUCUCAGAGAAGAGUAUUUGAAGAAUUAUGUAUAGAAAAAGAACCAACCUUUUUAUCAACAUAAUCAGCCCAGAACCUAGCAACAGCCCUUUGAUAAGGAUCUUUAGGCAUCAAAGGAGAUUUAUCAUUCCAAACUUCAUCAAUAUAUUGAACCAUAAUAAGAGAUUCACAUAUGGGUUUUCCAUUAUGAAUCAAAACAGGGAUUUUCUUAUAAAUAGGAUUCAUUUUCAAAAGCAAAUCACUUUUCUCUAGAACAUUUUCAUUUUUGUAUUCAUAAUCAAUUCCUUUUUCAGCUAAUGCUAUUCUUACUCUCAUUCCAAAUGGACUUGGCCAAGAAUCUAACAGAGUUAGAUCACUCCCCAUUCUUGUUAAAUUGAAAACUACUACACAAACAACACUGAUUAGAAAUGGGAUUUUGCUUGCUAAUCUUACUGAUGAUGAUAAUGAUUAUAUUAUUUCUAUAGGGAUUUUUGAGGUUCUAGGAGGCUUCUAUAUACUUCUCUUACUUAGAUCUUGAGAGAUGUCACUGCUUGCGUCAGAUAAAUGAAAAAAAAAACUUGAGAGAUGUCACUGCUUGCUAAUCAUGGAGUAUAUAAUAUUUGUUUUUGAUUUGGAUAUAUAGUAGUAAUUUCAUAGUCAUAAGGUCAUAAAGCUUUGGUUAGCUCACAAGGCUUCUGUUCAAGUAUUCAGUAGUAGUGGAAUAGUGUCUAGUGGCAGGCUAGCAGCAGUUAAGUCGCAACUACCAAGCAAGUUGGGGGUUGGGGGUUGAGAUUGUUAUGGAUAUGGGUUUAACUUAACACUCUCAAACAGCUUCAAAACAAUGUUGGGCACUUGGGCCCAUGUUUAUAGCCCGUAGAGCCUAUGUUUGGGUUCACAAAAUGUUUGAUACAAAAUGCCCACGUUUGCUUAUCUGAAUUCUUCUUGUAUGUUAAUAAAAGCUUCAAUUCUGGUCAUCUGAAUGAGCAAAAGCUUCUGCAGAACUGCAGACCCAACCAACAACUCAUAAAGAGGGAGACCCCGGCAGAUUUCCCCACAACCCCACCUGCCAGAAUGUUGUAGGCUGGACAUAUGAUGAAGUUAAGUUCGUGUUGCUAAUAGGCACUCAUUUACUCAUGAAUCACAUUACAAAUAGCCAAAUACUGUACUGUAGAACAAAAUCAAGUAUCUUAGAGCAAUCCCAAUGGGAGGGCAUUUUAGAAGGGCGGUAUUAUGAAAUGCCCUCUCAGCCAAAAAUUCUUUGCCAAUGGAACGGUGGGUCAAACAUUCAACGGUUGUUAGAAGUUCCAAUGGCAUUUGAGAGGGAAAUAGAGUGCCAUCCAAAAUGCCAUGUUAAUGGCAUAAGACGGAAGACAGUGUUCCGGUUCAACACUUUUUCGGAACUGUGUGUUCCGUCUUAUUCACUUUAUUCUCAUUUGGAACUUCAAGUUCCGUCUUAUAAACUAAAUGUUAUGGAAAGCAAAGUUCCGUCUUACAAAAACCGGAAACCACAGUUCCAUUUAAUGUAAAAUUAGAGUUCCGUCUUAUAUUGGUAAAAUUACCAGAACUUUGAGUUCCGUCUUAUAAGCCAUUUAAUUGUGAUAAACUGACAUUUCCAAAAUUUUCCAUUGGCACAACUUCGCAGGGGGUUUUGACUACCAUGGUUAGAAGGUGAUUUUAAAUGUGGUUUUGCUUAUGUGGCACCUACGUGGAGGCACCAAACUGCCCUCCCAUUGGGAUUGCUCUUAAGAAAGGUAAUAUAUGGUGAAACAGAAAAUGAACAUCUUCAAUCCACACAAGAGGAUGCUUGUGUUGUGCAGUUGUGCAACUAGAUAUUAUUGCAAGAUGCCAAAGUGUUUAUUAGUGGUAUCUAUGCAUGAUAUGAACUUGUCAUGGCACUCAUUCUUAUGAUGUCAACAACAUGAAUAAAUUGAGCUAAUGGUCCAAAUGACAACAUAUACAAUGUGGUUUGAAAGGGUAAAGUUCUAGUUUUCCACACUUGAUUUUCUUCAAGAACUCGAUUGUCAAAGCAAAAUAAGCGAAAAAAUAAAAUUCGUCAUUUGCUCACAAAGUGUAAUAUCCAACAAAACGAACCACUGGGCAACCAUAAUGCCCCAUAACAGGAUGUAACAACUAUACUUCCGUGUUUUUUAUGAACAUUCAUGGUCAAAGCAGGAAGCUUGAAAACGAAAAAUAGUUUGAGAGAGCUUACUGGAUCCUUGCAAAAGAGUUCAUGUUCUCCCUGAGGGUCCACUGAUCCUCUGCUCCUGAUGCAUAGUAGUCGUAAACCAUCUUUGGCAACCUUUGCUUCGCCAAAGGUUCAUACUCUUCAACAUUGGUAAUGUCCAUCUUUAAGAUGAAAGGUGUAAACUUCCCUCACGAUCUGGAAACAACAUAACAUAAACUUUGUAUUAUAUCAUAUUACUCACUUACAAUUAACAAAAAGAAGUACUCCUUACAUAAAUAAAAAAGACAUAGACAACUGGCCACAACCAAAUUCAGCUAUAAAUUAUAGGUCUAUUCAAACCACUACCAGAUAUUAUACAGUAUAUACAUGUAGUGUUCUCACAGUAGUGAGAUGAAAUAAAAAGAACGACAAUUUCUGAGCACAUUCUAAAUCCUAUAAGAAAGGAAGAAUUGCCAACCAUUAAAAAGUUUAAAAGAUAGACACCAAAUAAAAUCCUUCACUUGAGAAAGGAGCUAAUAAUCUCAAGUACAAAUUCGAUGCAAAUGGUUACUUUUUGAAUUUUUUUAGUUUACUACAGAUUUUCUUAAGAAUUUUUGUAUUGUGCAGUUGUUCUUUUUGAAUUGAUGAGGGAUACAGUUGUUAGCACCCAUCUGCUUUUGUACAUUUCACACUUUUAAUUCAAUCUUUAAGUAGUGUUCUCACAGUAGUGAGAUGAAAUAAAGAGAACGGCAAUUUCUACCACAUUCUAAAUCUUAUAAGAAAGAAAGAAUUGCCAAACCAUGAAAAAGUUUAAAAGAUAGACACCAAAUAAAAUCCUUCACUUGAGAAAGAAGCUGAUAAUCUCAAGUACAAAUUCUAGAAAUUUGAGGCAAAUGGUUACGUAUAUGAGAUCAGGCAUAGAUUAUAAUAAUGGUACUGAUGGGGAAAAUUUGAUUUGCUAACAUUAAAAAUGUUUAGAUGUAGAAACUAGAAAUUAAAGACACACCAAUUUUGACUAAACCCCCAAAAGAAAAGAAUCACUAUCAGACCAUCUCCAGUCCAACAGAGAUUCCAGACUUUUUUUUCUCCAAUUGCGACUUAAAGGCAAUUUAGUCUCCAGAAAGGGUAUCAAAAACCACCUUCUAAUAUAAAUCUGAACUUCUCAAGUCCUAUUAACAAAACCCACCCAAUUACAAGAAACCCGAAGAUUUUAAUAAAACCUAGUACAGGGGAAAAAACAUAAAUUUGAGUUGAUAACUUUAAAUCAAUAAUAACUUCUUCUUUUUUUUAGGUGGCAAUCAGUAACUUGAAAAUAAGUGAUUCUCAAAUAACAUUUAAGAACAUCAAAAGCUAAUCAAACUCUAUAAACAAUUUAUUCCAAUCAUUCUUUUUAUUUUUAAUUUUUCAGAAAAUGAGAUUGAGCAAUAACCUCGAUAAAGAUCAAACAACAACAACAAAACCAAUAUUUAAGCUAUGUAGAUUGAACAACAGACCUUGGGUUCUUGUGUUUGGAAAUUUUUUUGGUCUCAUCCUUCUGAAUUCUUCUACUCUUGUCUCCAAAUGAUUGUAUCUCUCUUAUCUUUUUCUCCAAUGAAACAGAGAAGCCUAGCCUAGCCUUGUUGAAACUUCAUUGGGAUUUAGUAGUAGCAGUUGAGUUGCAACUUACUUUCAAACAAGUUGGUGCUUGGGCUUGGUAUUGUUGGAUUGGAUUGGGUUUAACUCUGAGCAUUAAAGCAACAUUGGGUCUAUGUAUUGGCACGAUAAAUGGAUCUACAUUGGCUCAGAAGCUUUCUUUGGGCUAAAGCAUUUUAGUCAUUAGGACCCAUAUUUCAUGUUUGGUUUGAGACUUUGCGAUGUGCUGUAUGUUAUGAACCAGUUGUCUUAAACUGAACUGUUCUGGUAUGUAUGUAUGUUGUUAAAGCUUCUGCACACUCUGAAUGAGCACAAGAGGGUGUAUGUUGCUAAUAAGCAUGCUUCAUUUGGUCAUGAGUCGACCAAACAACUGCUAGCUCAAUUGGUUUGGUACUCCUCUCAAACACUCCCACGAGUAAAAGGUUGUGCGGUCAAUUCCAUCAGAAGACCCAUGCUCCGAUGAUAACAUGAUGUGGCCGUCUAGUGUUCGUUGUCUAGUGUUCUUCAACGAAAACAAAAUCCCUGUGUAACAGUAUUGCUCGAGCAGCAAAGUGACGUCCCUGUGUAGCAGUAUUGCUUGAGCAGUAAAGUGACAAUGUGAACACUUAGGUGGCAGCAACAGUAGUAUUUCUAGUUUUCAGGCCUUGUCUCUGUAAGCCUUCCGGCUAUUGUAAUCCUUCGGGCCAUAAAAAAAAACAAUAAAAAAUAAAAAUUGGUCACGAAUCAUGGGGGCGAUUUUGUUAAAACCCCACAAGUCUAUGUUCAUAUUUGCGUUUACCCCACUAAAGAAUUUUUUUUUUGUCUUAUCACUAGCAAGUUAACGAUUCUGUCUCAUGACCGUUUGUAGAUGCUGACAUAGUUAGAACUUAAAAACUCUGGCUUAUUUAAAACGCAAAAAUGUUGACGUGGUUUAAACUUAAAAACAGAGGACAGGUGUGAUGAUCCAACGGUCGAGAUGUAUCUUUAAUCCAACGGUUCUAAUAUGUUUUUAAUGUUACCGUUGGACCCGACUGAACCAGGCUUUUAAAUAGUGUCUUCUUCCCCAAUUUUAAUAUCUGACCUCUGAAACGCAAACAGAGACACAGUGAAAAACCAAAUUUGUUUUGGUCGCCUUCUUUCCAAUCCCAAUUUAAGGUUAGAAUGAAUUCAAAAAGUGCUUCAAGCUCAGUUUUUUCUAAGUUUAAGUGUUUCAUCUGUGGAGGUAGUGGCCACUUCGCAAAGGAUUGCGUGUUUCAUGAUUUUCCAUGUGUCCUCCUCUGCGAUGAUCACACAAUGAAGUUUGGGACUAUAUAACAUACUCAAUCAUGGUAAAAGGAUUAAUUAUUGUGUUAGUAUAAAGGAAGACAAAAUAUUUCAUUGGAGUUAUCUGUUUAUUAAAGCAAAUUAAUAAAGUAGUAGUAAUCAACCUUUAUAACAAGUAAGAAUGAUGUUAACUUAGUUUGUCGGUAAGAAAUAACAAGUGAUUGGAAAAUGGUUUGGAUCUCUCAGCACGUAAUUUACUGAUUCCAUUCCAAUUUCCAUGUGCUCAAAUUCGAUUAUAAUGUAACUAUUAAGUCUUUGAAAAAAAAAACAUUUUAAUCCUUGAAAAAUUGUGCAAAAACUGAAUCUUCAAUACUGUCACCAACAUAGCAAGUGAGUUGUCAUCACGGCCAAGUGUUUGUUAUUAUAUUAUCAGAUCCCUCACCCUAGCCGUUGAUUAAAAUCAUUCAGAUUAAGACACGUGCCCAUUAUGAUUAAACCGUUUAUAUAUUUUUAAGUUUUAACUACAUCAGCAUUUUUCGAAUUAAAUAAACCACGUCAACAUCUGCAAACGGUCAUGAGACAGAAUCGUUAACUUGCUAGUGAUAAGACCAAAAAGAAAUCUUUAGUGGGGUAAACCCAAAUAUUAACGGGAUUGUUACAAAAUGGCCCACUCACAUUUGCAGUGAAACAGAAACGGAACACUUUUUCUUGUAUGAUGCUGAAGUGGCUAUUAGCCUCUAUUAGUGAUAGACACUGUUACAGAGAAUUUUAUGUGUAACCUACUUGUGUACACCCAAUCAUAAAACACCAUGUAACAAUAAUAAUAUAACAUAUGUAUAGAUUUAAUUAAUCCUAAUAGACUUAAUUAGUUACCCAACCACUUUAUACACUUUAUAAACCCAUGACGUCAUAUGAUUGGAUGUACACACCCACGUACAAAUAGGCUACAAAUAUAAAAAUUUUUGCACACUGUUAUCAUGUGAAGUUGUGAACAACCUGAUUUUAAGGUAACGGUUCAAACCCCAAAUGAAUAGCUAGUAGCGAAUUUGUAGGUUGAUAACUCAUUAUUUGUAGGUGUCAAUUGAGCUACACUGAUAAAACCAGAGAUCUGAGAUUCGAAUUCCAUCAGCAUUACCAAUUACCAAUUACCAAUUACCAAUUACCAAUUAUACAGAUAAAGACAUCCACUACCAUCCAUAACAGAGGUUCAACUUCAUAAGGUUAGCAAUUAUUUGAUGCAAAGAGGCAAAUCACAAAGAAGUACAUGUUCCGAAAUCAAUCUAAAUGAUGAAGUUCUUGAUGAUUGGCAACACAAUGUUACCAUAAUCCAAGAGACUACAUUUCUUUAUUAUACUACCUUAUUACAAACAAACAACAAAAACAAACAAAAACUUGCAUUAACAACACAAAAUCAUAAACCUGUUCAUCACACUCUAUUAAAACCCAUAAAUCACCUUCAUUGCGUCAUAAACUUUGUGUGAAUCUGGUAGUGUUUUAGAAACACUCUCCUUCUCCAAACAUCUUUUAGCCCAUGCUAUUAACUUUGGGCAUUCUGCUUCAAUGCUGAACUUCCCACAUGUUUCAUACAUAUAAAACCAACUGUAAAAAGGAAUGAAAGCCACAUCCACAUAUCCCAUCUUCUCACCUCCAAAGUAAGUUUUGUCUCCAAGUUCUCCUUCCAAUACUUUCAACACCUCUAAAAAUUCCUUCUUUGCUGUCUCUUGUUCUUCUCCCUUUGUUGACCAUAUUUUCCUUCCACUAUCAUAAAUCUGCAUUUCACACAAAACCCAAAUCAGAAAACUAGUUAAUUAAAACACAUUUCAAUCUCAGAAAAGAGUAUUUGAAGUAUUAUGUACAAUAAAAAAAAAAAAACCCACCUUUUUAUCAACAUAAUCAGCCCAGAACCUAGCAAUAGCACGCUGAUAAGGAUCUUCAGGUAUUAAGGGACAUUUAUCAUUCCAAACUUCAUCAAUAUAUUGAAGUAUAAUAAGAGAUUCACAAAUGGGUUUUCCAUUAUGAAUCAAAACAGGGAUUUUCUUAUGAAUAGGAUUCAUUUUCAAAAGCAAAUCACUUUUCUUUUCAAGAUUUUCAUCUUUGUAUUCAUAAUCAACCCCUUUUUCAGCUAAUGCUAUUCUUGCUCUCAUACCAAAUGGACUUGUCCAAAAAUCUAACAACGUUACUUCACUCCCCAUUCUUGUUAAAUUAAAAACUAAACAAACGAUUCAGAAAUGGGAUUUGCUAGUUGCUAUGAUGAUGAUAAUGUACAUUUGUGUUUAUAUAGGGGUUUUUCAGGUUCUAGGAGGUUCUAUACACUUAUCUUCUUGAGAGUUCUUGAGAGAUGUCACUGCUUGCGUCAGAUAAAUGACACAGAAUUUAGAGUAAGUUACACGUAGGGGUUUUAAACAGAUGUCAACUUCUUGAGAGAUCUUGAAGAGAGAUGUCUAGUGCUUACCGACCUUGAGAGAUGCCUUGAAAACUCUGCAUCACUGAUCAAGGCUUCUGUUCAGUAGUAGUAGUAGCAGACUAGCAGCAGUUAAGUUGGUGGCUAGCUUCAAAACAAUUUUGGGCCCAUGUUUGGGUUCACAAAAUGUCCAAUAUAAAAUGCCCAUGUUUGCUUAUCUGAAUUCUUGUUAGCUUCAACUCUGCUCAUCUGAAUGAACACAAGCUUUUGCAGAACUGCAGACCCACAGAGUGACAGAACAACUCAUAAAGAAGGAAACCCAUAUCACGAUUCACUCCAGAUUUCCCCACAACCCCACCUGCCAGAAUACUGUAGGCCGGACAUAUGAUAAAGCUCGGUUCAGGUUGCUAAUAGGUGCUCAUUUAUUUAUGAAUCACAUUGCAAAUACAGUAGAACAAAUGUAUCUUAGCUUAACAGUUCUUAGGGGGGAAAGGUAAUUUAUGGUGAAAGUGAAACAGAAAAUGAACAUUCUUCAACCCACACAAGAGGCCAAGAGGGAGAAGGAAUAUAUCGUUGUGUUGUGCAAGUGUGCUUGUGCAAGUGUGCAACUAGACAAGGCAUUCAUUGUUGCAUGAUGCCAAAGUGUUUAUUAGUGGUAUCUAUGCAUGAUAUGAACUUAUCAUGAGACUCAUUCUUAUGAUGUGAACAACCUGAAUAAGUUGAACUAAUGCCUAAUGGUCCAAAUGACAACAUAUACAUUAAUGUGGUUUUUAAACCAUUAUUUAUUCCUCUUCACAAGACAUCCACAUCAAUCCAUUAGAAAGGUUUAAUACAAUCUUACAAAGUGAAGCAAGUGACAAUAUAUUUUAUAUUCAACAUAAACUAGAUUAGUACUCCAUUACAUGAUCAAGCUCUUAAUGAUUCGCAACACAAUGUUACAAUAAUCCAAGAGACAUUAUUACAAACAAAACCACAAAAACAAAGAAAUUAAAAACUUGAAUCAACCCAAAUUCAUGCAUAAACUUGUUCAUUCACUCUAUUCAAUCCCAAAAACCUUCUUGAGAUGCAAAACAAAGUCUAAAACUUUGUGUGAAUCAGGUAGUGUUUUAGAAACACUCUCAUUUUCCAAACAUCUUUUAGCCCAUGCCACAAACUUUGGGCAUUCUGCU